UGGGCAAAAGGAAUUAGAGAUGUGUAUGU
rnacentral:piRNA from 1 species